rnacentral:piRNA from 1 species
UACUAACCUUGUUGUGUGGCUUC